AGGCGCGGGAGCGAGUCAUAGCAGCGCUAUGGCGAGCGAGUGCAACGAAG
rnacentral:rRNA from 1 species